UAUAGCUGUGCACUGAAAGUUGGACCUACCAACAAAUCAGGCCCCUGAACACUCUUCUUUUUAUUCCCCUUCACACAGAUGUUGUCCCAGAUGGUCUCACCUACCCGAUGCCCCAUGGACUAUGCUGGGCUGGAAUUUCUUCUGCAUGUUAUUUAUGUGUACUUGACCAAACUAGAGAGGCAGGAAUGCAGGUACGAUGUCCAGGUCGGCCCACCCCUUUCCUGCAGGCAGGCUGGAAGGAUUGGAACAGGAUGGCAUGGAGUAAACAUAUCUCAGCAGCUACCUGGAGCAGGUAGACUUUCACGACACUGAGAAGAGUCUAGAUCUUCGCUCUCCCGGUGGGCUAUGGGACACUCACUCAUCUCAAACCUUGGACGCUGUAUUUACAGAGUCCAAGGAUGGAAAUGACCUUAGAAGAUGGCUGGAAUUCCCAUUUUUCAAAGGGGCAAUAAUUUGUGUGUCCUUUUUGUGUGUUGGCACUUCAGAGCAAUGUUAAAAGAAGAAAAAACAAAAACAUAAAACCACUCCCACACGAUUGUGUAGUCAUUCUGAUCCCUAUUUUAACCAGGGAAUUUAAUGAGAGUUCCCCAAUCUGUGGAGAAAGGAGAAAAUGCCCACAGGGUGAGGAUUUGGCCGAUGCCUGUAGGUCUCUGUUGACAAAGCAGCCUUUGAAUCUGUGGUACCUCUGAAUGGAGUCCUACCAUCUUUCAAGGUUAUUGCCUGACUACAGGUUAAAUAUCUUAAUAUUCACUGAUUGGGGGAAAGCACUACGAGCAAAUUGAAUGCAAGGUCCAGGAACACCCAGGUCUUUGGUGACUAUAUAAAAUGUAAAUGCAUUCUUUAUUAUCUCAAGUCACUGCACGCCCAAGUGGCUCUUCUGUAAGAAAAACAUAGCUUGCUGAUAAUGAGCAUGAAAAUUACUAAGGAAUGGGCAGAGUAAAUCUCUCAAAUCUUUUCUGUCUCCGCCCUCCCCCCACCCCCAUUUCGGAACCAUGAUGUGACUUUGCUAAUUUGAGUAUGUGUCCCUGUCUAGAUUUUACAAAUAAACUUAAAGUUUAUCAAAGGAC
rnacentral:lncRNA from 1 species